GAUGAACGCUGGCGGCGUGCCUAACACAUGCAAGUCGAGCGAGGGUUUGCUCAGUAUUGAGUAUUCUAAAACUAGAAUGUUCAAUUCUGAGCAAAACCAAGCGGCGGACGGGUGAGUAACGCGUGGGUAACCUGCCCUAUACACAUGGAUAACAUACUGAAAAGUUUACUAAUACAUGAUAAUAUAUAUUUGCGGCAUCGCAGAUAUAUCAAAGUGUUAGCGGUAUAGGAUGGACCCGCGUCUGAUUAGCUAGUUGGUGAGAUAACUGCCCACCAAGGCGACGAUCAGUAGCCGACCUGAGAGGGUGAUCGGCCACAUUGGAACUGAGACACGGUCCAAACUCCUACGGGAGGCAGCAGUGGGGAAUAUUGCACAAUGGGCGAAAGCCUGAUGCAGCAACGCCGCGUGAACGAUGAAGGUCUUCGGAUCGUAAAGUUCUGUUGCAGGGGAAGAUAAUGACGGUACCCUGUGAGGAAGCCCCGGCUAACUACGUC
rnacentral:rRNA from 1 species